AAUUCGAAGCAACGACGAAGAACCUUACCAGGCCUUGACAUGCAGAGAACUUCCAGAGAUGGAUUGGUGCCUUCGGGAACUCUGACACAGGUGCUGCAUGGCUGUCGUCAGCUCGUGUCGUGAGAUGUUGGGUUAAGUCCCGUAACGAGCGCAACCCUUGUCCUUAGUUACCAGCACGUUAUGGUGGGCACUCUAAGGAGACUGCCGGUGACAAACCGGAGGAAGGUGGGGGAUGACGUCAAGUCAUCAUGGCCCUUACGGCCUGGGCUACACACGUGCUACAAUGGUCGGUACAAAGGGUUGCCAAGCCGCGAGGUGGAGCUAAUCCCAUAAAACCGAUCGUAGUCCGGAUCGCAGUCUGCAACUCGACUGCGUGAAGUCGGAAUCGCUAGUAAUCGUGAAUCAGAAUGUCACGGUGAAUACGUUCCCGGGCCUU
rnacentral:rRNA from 1 species